rnacentral:rRNA from 1 species
ACUGCUAUUUGGGUGAGGAUAAGCCAUGCGAGUUGGAUGGGAUACCUAAAAUUCCCAUAGCAAGCUGCUUAGUAACACAUGAUCAACUUACCCUAUGGAGAAAAAUAACCUCGGGAAACUGAGGAUAAUGUUUCAUAGUUGAAUAGGCUUGGAAAAGUUUUUCAAUGAAAUGAAUAAGGUAAAUGGAUCUUAUUUGCCAUAGGAUAGGAUCGUGGUCGAUUAUGGUAGUUGGUGAGAUAACGGCUCACCAAGCCGAUAAUCGAUAGGGGCCGUGAGAGCGGGAGCCCCAAGAUGGGUACUGAGACAGCGACCCAGGCCUUACGAGGCGCAGCAGGCGCGAGACCUCCGCAAUACACGAAAGUGUGACGGGGUUACCCAAAGUGUUCUCUUAAGAACUGUGGUAGGUGAGUAAUGUCCCCUGCUAGAAAGGAGAGGGCAAGGCUGGUGCCAGCCGCCGCGGUAAAACCAGCUCUUCAAGUGGUCGGGAUAAUUAUUGGGCUUAAAGUGUCCGUAGCCGGUUUAGUAAGUUCCUGGUAAAAUCGGGUAGCUUAACUAUCUGCAUGCUAGGAAUACUGCUAUACUAGAGGGCGGGAGAGGUCUGAGGUACUACAGGGGUAGGGGUGAAAUCUUAUAAUCCUUGUAGGACCACCAGUGGCGAAGGCGUCAGACUGGAACGCGCCUGACGGUGAGGGACGAAAGCCAGGGGAGCGAACCGGAUUAGAUACCCGGGUAGUCCUGGCCGUAAACGAUGCAUACUAGGUGAUGGUACGGCCAUGAGCCGUAUCAGUGCCGUAGGGAAACCGUUAAGUGUGCCGCCUGGGAAGUACGGUCGCAAGGCUAAAACUUAAAGGAAUUGGCGGGGGAGCACCACAAGGGGUGAAGCCUGCGGUUCAAUUGGACACAACGCCGGGAAACUUACCAGGGGAGACAGCAGAAUGAGGGUCAGGUUGACGACCUUACCUGAUGAGCUGAGAGGAGGUGCAUGGCCGUCGCCAGUUCGUGCUGUGAGGUAUCCUGUUAAGUCAGGCAACGAACGAGAUCCGCACCUUUAUUUGCCAACAAGAAGUUACGACUUCGUUGGGAACACUAAAGGGACCGCCGUCGAUAAGACGGAGGAAGGAGCGGGCAAAGGCAGGUCAGUAUGCCCCGAAACCCCUGGGCUACACGCGGGCUGCAAUGGUAUGAACAAUGGGCUGUAACUCCGAAAGGAGAAACCAAUCCCGAAAUCAUAUCACAGUGGAUUGUUGGCUGUAACCCGCCGACAUGAACGUGGAAUCCCUAGUAAUCGUGUGUCAUCAUCGCACGGUGAAUACGUCUCUGCUCCUUGCACACACCGCCCGUCGCUCCAUCCGAGUGUACUAAAAAUGAGGUUUGGUCAGACUGGUCAUAUCGAGUUUCUAGUAUGCGAGGAGGGAGAAGUCGUAACAAGGUA